rnacentral:rRNA from 1 species
AUUGAACGCUGGCGGCAGGCUUAACACAUGCAAGUCGAGCGGGGGAAGGUAGCUUGCUACCGGACCUAGCGGCGGACGGGUGAGUAAUGCUUAGGAAUCUGCCUAUUAGUGGGGGACAACAUCUCGAAAGGGAUGCUAAUACCGCAUACGUCCUACGGGAGAAAGCGGGGAAUAUUCGGACCUUGCGCUAAUAGAUGAGCCUAAGUGGGAUUAGCUAGUUGGUGGGGUAAAGGCCUACCAAGGCGACGAUCUGUAGCGGGUCUGAGAGGAUGAUCCGCCACACUGGGACUGAGACACGGCCCAGACUCCUACGAGAGGCAGCAGUGGGGAAUAUUGGACAAUGGGGGGAACCCUGAUCCAGCCAUGCCGCGUGUGUGAAGAAGGCCUUAUGGUUGUAAAGCACUUUAAGCGAGGAGGAGGCUACUCUAGUUAAUACCUAGGGAUAGUGGACGUUACUCGCAGAAUAAGCACCGGCUAACUCUGUGCCAGCAGCCGCCGCAG